AUUGAACGCUGGCGGCAGGCCUAACACAUGCAAGUCGAGCGGAUGAAGGGAGCUUGCUCCUGGAUUCAGCGGCGGACGGGUGAGUAAUGCCUAGGAAUCUGCCUGGUAGUGGGGGAUAACGUCCGGAAACGGGCGCUAAUACCGCAUACGUCCUGAGGGAGAAAGUGGGGGAUCUUCGGACCUCACGCUAUCAGAUGAGCCUAGGUCAGAUUAGCUAGUUGGUGGGGUAAAGGCCUACCAAGGCGACGAUCCGUAACUGGUCUGAGAGGAUGAUCAGUCACACUGGAACUGAGACACGGUCCAGACUCCUACGGGAGGCAGCAGUGGGGAAUAUUGGACAAUGGGCGAAAGCCUGAUCCAGCCAUGCCACGUGUGUGAAGAAGGUCUUCGGAUUGUAAAGCACUUUAAGUUGGGAGGAAGGGCAGUAAGUUAAUACCUUGCUGUUUUGACGUUACCAACAGAAUAAGCACCGGCUAACUUCGUG
rnacentral:rRNA from 1 species